UGAUGAGAUAGUUGAUAUGGUAGAAGUUUGUUCAAUUCAGUUAUGACAAUUUUUGAAGAUUCUCAGUUUCCUUUGGCUCUGCCAUUCUGCUUUAAAAGUGUUCAAUUUAGGACUGUGGCAUGGACAUUAUUAUGUGUUGGUUUGACCUGAUAAAAUGAUAGGGGGAUAUGAGUUCAACAACAUUUUAGAAGUUAAUACUCAGCAUUUGUAGACUAAUGUUAACAGCUACUCCAUGAGUAACAAAAAAUGUGUAAUAGGGAUGACAGUCGGAAAGAGCAUCUCCUCCUUUCCUCCUAGCAUUUUAGAUAUUUAUAGAAGUUUGAUCCUGAAAUGAAAUCAUGAUGUUAAUUUUUAUAUGCACAAUCACCCAAGUUGGAAG
rnacentral:misc_RNA from 1 species